UUUUCCGGCAGCUACACAUGCAAGUCGAGCGGUAGAGAGAAGCUUGCUUCUCUUGAGAGCGGCGGACGGGUGAGUAAUGCCUAGGAAUCUGCCUGGUAGUGGGGGAUAACGUUCGGAAACGGACGCUAAUACCGCAUACGUCCUACGGGAGAAAGCAGGGGACCUUCGGGCCUUGCGCUAUCAGAUGAGCCUAGGUCGGAUUAGCUAGUUGGUGGGGUAAUGGCUCACCAAGGCGACGAUCCGUAACUGGUCUGAGAGGAUGAUCAGUCACACUGGAACUGAGACACGGUCCAGACUCCUACGGGAGGCAGCAGUGGGGAAUAUUGGACAAUGGGCGAAAGCCUGAUCCAGCCAUGCCGCGUGUGUGAAGAAGGUCUUCGGAUUGUAAAGCACUUUAAGUUGGGAGGAAGGGCAGUAAAUUAAUACUUUGCUGUUUUGACGUUACCGACAGAAUAAGCACCGGCUAACUCUGUGCCAGCAGCCGCGGUAAUACAGAGGGUGCAAGCGUUAAUCGGAAUUACUGGGCGUAAAGCGCGCGUAGGUGGUUAGUUAAGUUGGAUGUGAAAUCCCCGGGCUCAACCUGGGAACUGCAUUCAAAACUGACUGACUAGAGUAUGGUAGAGGGUGGUGGAAUUUCCUGUGUAGCGGUGAAAUGCGUAGAUAUAGGAAGGAACACCAGUGGCGAAGGCGACCACCUGGACUGAUACUGACACUGAGGUGCGAAAGCGUGGGGAGCAAACAGGAUUAGAUACCCUGGUAGUCCACGCCGUAAACGAUGUCAACUAGCCGUUGGGAGCCUUGAGCUCUUAGUGGCGCAGCUAACGCAUUAAGUUGACCGCCUGGGGAGUACGGCCGCAAGGUUAAAACUCAAAUGAAUUGACGGGGGCCCGCACAAGCGGUGGAGCAUGUGGUUUAUUCGAAGCAACGCGAAGAACCUUACCAGGCUUGACAUCCAAUGAACUUC
rnacentral:rRNA from 1 species